UAGUACCGCAAGGGAAAGCUGAAAGAGAAAUGAAAUAACCCAUUAAAGCACAGAGAAGCAGAGAUAACCUCUCGUACCUUUUGCAUCAUGAUUCAGCAAGUUAACUCAAGCAAAGAGCACUCUAGUUUGCACCCCCGAAACUUGACGAGCUACUCCGAGACAGCCAACUAUGGGCCAACCCGUCUCUGUGGCAAAAGAGUGGGAAGAUCUCCGAGUAGAGGCAAAAAACCUACCGAGCCAAGUUAUAGCUGGUUGCCCAAUAAAUGAAUACAAGUUCAGCCCUGCCUAGCCCGACUCACACCAGUUUUACGAAAAAAGACAAAGAGCUCACUCGCAGGAGUUAAUCAGAGGAGGUACAGCUCCCCUGAUACAGGAUACAACCUUUUUAGGAGAUAAAAGAAUAUUGCCAAACAAGGCCUUGGGCCUCAGUGGGCCUGAAAGCAGCCAUCUGAUCUGAAAGCGUUAAAGCUCCGGCCAAAAGAAAGCCUUUUAUUUAAUCUUAAUAUCUGCUCCCCUAAACCUUAUUGGGCCUCUCCAUGCAUCCAUGGAAGAGACUAUGCUGGAACGAGUAACAAGAAGAAUGAACUUCUCCACGCACAAGUGUAUGUCAAAUUGGACCAACCAUCGACAAUCAACGAACCCAACAAAAGAGGGCCCUACACACCCGCCACCUCUGACCAAGAAAACUAUGUUCCCCAGAAUCGUUGCCCCGACACAGGAGUGCCAGAACAAGGAAAGACUUAAAGAAAAAAAAGGAACUCGGCAAACCCAGACCUCGCCUGUUUACCAAAAACAUCGCCUCUUGCAUUCCAAAGUAUAAGAGGUCCCACCUGCCC
rnacentral:rRNA from 1 species